AGCUUCCGGUAAAAGAGCUCGGC
rnacentral:piRNA from 1 species